UUUUUCUGUCAAAAAAUUAUUUCAUUGUUUAAACAAAAUAUAAAAAGACCCCAUGAUCCCUUUGAAUUUUAAAAUGAUACUUGUGUCCUUAUGAAAAGUCUAUAAUACAUUAGCCAUCGGAACCUCGGCCGACCGAGCCGCUUCCAACGACGACUACCUCAAUUGUAACGGCCAGUGACUUCUCCAAAGGAAACUUUCAAGAAAGCUCCGCGUUUGGAAACUUUUUCUCCGAAAUUUUCCAUCUUUUUGCAAGUACUCCCUCAGGCUCAAGAGCAAUGAACUGGGUUCAACAUAUUCUGGUGAUCGUGUUGAUGUGGUUCAUUUUCUACAAUGGAUCGCGAUACGUCACUGACUUUUGCAAGAGAAAAGGGAAAGCACUACCUGUGCAAGUCAUGGCCGGGGUUGUCAUCCUUACCAAGGAGACAACUGUUCGAGCAACAACCAUAUAAAGCUUUAUCAGCCUCAGCUACCAAGGCUGCAGGCAUCUAGGGUGAAUCCCAGAUAUGAAAUGUAGCAGUAAUGUGAAUGAUCACAAGGGAAAUGGCAAUGUGGAAUAUAUGAAUGAUAUAGUGGCAUGUCUCCCUUGAUAUAAUAUGACUUUAUUCUGUACCAUCCUUGUAAUGAUUAUGAACCAUGGUCUUAAAUUUGGCAAGGAUUCAAGAAUGUAUUCUUUCUUGUAGUGAUUGUGAAACUUGUCCGACCACUUGCAAUUAAUGGAAUUUUGCAUUUCAUGUA